UACGUAGGGUCCGAGCGUUGUCCGGAAUUACUGGGCGUAAAGAGCUCGUAGGUGGUUUGUCGCGUUGUUCGUGAAAACUCACAGCUCAACUGUGGGCGUGCGGGCGAUACGGGCAGACUGGAGUACUGCAGGGGAGACUGGAAUUCCUGGUGUAGCGGUGGAAUGCGCAGAUAGUCAGGAGGAACACCGGUGGCGAAGGCGGGUCUCUGGGCAGUAACUGACGCUGAGGAGCGAAAGCGUGGGGAGCGAACAGG
rnacentral:rRNA from 1 species